rnacentral:rRNA from 1 species
AUAGGGGAGCCGGAGGGAAACCGAGUCUUAAUUGGGCGUUAAGUUGCAGGGUAUAGACCCGAAACCCGGUGAUCUAGCCAUGGGCAGGUUGAAGGUUGGGUAACACUAACUGGAGGACCGAACCGACUAAUGUUGAAAAAUUAGCGGAUGACCUGUGGCUGGGGGUGAAAGGCCAAUCAAACCGGGAGAUAGCUGGUUCUCCCCGAAAGCUAUUUAGGUAGCGCCUCGUGAAUUCAUCUCCGGGGGUAGAGCACUGUUUCGGCUAGGGGGCCAUCCCGGCUUACCAACCCGAUGCAAACUGCGAAUACCGGAGAAUGUUAUCACGGGAGACACACGGCGGGUGCUAACGUCCGUCGUGAAGAGGGAAACAACCCAGACCGCCAGCUAAGGUCCCAAAGUCAUGGUUAAGUGGGAAACGAUGUGGGAAGGCCCAGACAGCCAGGAUGUUGGCUUAGAAGCAGCCAUCAUUUAAAGAAAGCGUAAUAGCUCACUGGUCGAGUCGGCCUGCGCGGAAGAUGUAACGGGGCUAAACCAUGCACCGAAGCUGCGGCAGCGACGCUGAUGCGUUGUUGGGUAGGGGAGCGUUCUGUAAGCCUGCGAAGGUGGCCUGUGAGGGUUGCUGGAGGUAUCAGAAGUGCGAAUGCUGACAUAAGUAACGAUAAAGCGGGUGAAAAGCCCGCUCGCCGGAAGACCAAGGGUUCCUGUCCAACGUUAAUCGGGGCAGGGUGAGUCGACCCCUAAGGCGAGGCCGAAAGGCGUAGUCGAUGGGAAACGGGUUAAUAUUCCCGUACUUGGUGUUACUGCGAAGGGGGGACGGAGAAGGCUAUGUUGGCCGGGCGACGGUUGUCCCGGUUUAAGCGUGUAGGUGUGUGUUCCAGGUAAAUCCGGUUCACUUUAACACUGAGGCGUGAUGACGAGGCACUACGGUGCUGAAGCAACAAAUGCCCUGCUUCCAGGAAAAGCCUCUAAGCAUCAGGUAACAUCAAAUCGUACCCCAAACCGACACAGGUGGUCAGGUAGAGAAUACCAAGGCGCUUGAGAGAACUCGGGUGAAGGAACUAGGCAAAAUGGUGCCGUAACUUCGGGAGAAGGCACGCUGACACGUAGGUGAAGUGAUUUACUCAUGGAGCUGAAGUCAGUCGAAGAUACCAGCUGGCUGCAACUGUUUAUUAAAAACACAGCACUGUGCAAACACGAAAGUGGACGUAUACGGUGUGACGCCUGCCCGGUGCCGGAAGGUUAAUUGAUGGGGUCAGCGCAAGCGAAGCUCCUGAUCGAAGCCCCGGUAAACGGCGGCCGUAACUAUAACGGUCCUAAGGUAGCGAAAUUCCUUGUCGGGUAAGUUCCGACCUGCACGAAUGGCGUAAUGAUGGCCAGGCUGUCUCCACCCGAGACUCAGUGAAAUUGAACUCGCUGUGAAGAUGCAGUGUACCCGCGGCAAGACGGAAAGACCCCGUGAACCUUUACUAUAGCUUGACACUGAACAUUGAGCCUUGAUGUGUAGGAUAGGUGGGAGGCUUUGAAGU